CACCGCCUGGGGAGUACGACCGCAAGGUUAAAACUCAAAUGAAUUGACGGGGACCCGCACAAGUAGUGGAGCAUGUGGUUUAAUUCGAAGAUACGCGCAGAACCUUACCAACACUUGACAUGUUCGUCGCGACUCUAAGAGAUUGGAGUCUUCGGUUCGGCCGGACGAAACACAGGUGCUGCAUGGCUGUCGUCAGCUCGUGUCGUGAGAUGUUGGGUUAAGUCCCGCAACGAGCGCAACCCUUACUUUUAGUUGCUACCAUUUAGUUGGGCACUCUAAAAGAACUGCCAGUGAUAAGCUGGAGGAAGGUGGGGAUGACGUCAAGUCCUCAUGGCCCUUAUGUGUUGGGCUACACACGUGCUACAAUGGUACUUACAGUGAGAAGCGAAGAGGCGACUCCAAGCUAAUCCCAAAAAGGUACCUCAGUUCGGAUUGUACUCUGCAACUCGAGUACAUGAAGCUGGAAUUACUAGUAAUCGCGGAUCAGCGCGCCGCGGUGAAUACGUUCCCGGGUCUUGUACACACCGCCCGUCACACCAUGGAAGUUGGUUACACCUUAAGGCAAAGCAUAAAACCUUUGACUACGGUACGAUCAGCGACUGGGGUGAAGUCGUAACAAGGUAGCCGUAGGGGAACCUGCGGCUGGAUCACCUCCUUUCUGAGGAAAUCGAAAAAUAUUAAAAUAAUUAUUUUCGAUUUAAAAAAAAACCGGUAAUGUGACCGUCCUCAUUUCUCUUCUUUUAAUGUCUCUGAGUAUAUGUAAAGGGGCCGGUAGCUCAGGUGGUUAGAGCGCACCCCUGAUAAGGGUGAGGUCGGAAGUUCGAGUCUUCCUCGGCCCACCAAUAUUAAGGGGGAUUAGCUCAGCUGGGAGAGCGCCUGAUUUGCAUUCAGGAGGUCAGCGGUUCGAUCCCGCUAUCCUCCACCAAAAAUUGAGACAUUUAGCUUUUUUAAAUUGUGAAUAUUAUUAUUAUCAAUAUCUAUAUCCGAUUGUUUUCAGAUAUUUUUUUGGAAACAAUCAAAACAAAAAUUUAAUUUAUUACAGAAAAAAUUUUUUUCUG
rnacentral:sRNA from 1 species